AGGACUGCACCCACAGCAUAUGGAGGUUCCCAGGCUAGGGGUCCAACUGGAGCUAUAGCUGCUGGCCUACAGCAGAGCCACAGCAAGGCGGGAUCCGAGCCGCAUCUGUGACCUACACCACAACUCAUGGCAACACUGGAUUCUUAAUCCACUGUGUGAGGCCAGGGAUCAAACCCACAACCUCAUGGGACCUAGUCGGAUUCGUUUCCACUGCACCAGGACGGGAACUCCGGAAUUUGAAUUUUACAACCUUGACUUUUCUUGCAGACAACUCUCUUUCCCAAGAAUAUGGUACCACCUAAAACCUUCAAUUUUCCACACUCAGGGCACUUCAAUUAGGACUUCCUCCCUGAGCACAUGUCUCCCAGCAGCUGCUGAUAACGACAUGCCCCCUGUUAAGUAACAGUCUAAAUGCAACAACAUCUGCUUUUUCUCUACAUUAGAAAGGGAGAAGAGAUGCUUUGAAGAUACCAGGUUUGACUCUUAUUUUAUAUUAUACUUUCUCCUUAGUUACUGGCCAAUCUAAACCCUUAGGACCAUCUUAUUAAAAUCUGAACAAAAGGUGCCUAAACUUUUUAUUCCAUUAACUAAUGCAUAUAGAUAUUGACAAUCAACGAGAGGGGUCCAAAAUAACUACCUCAGCAUUACAAUCACACAGUGUGGGUUGGAAAUCUCAUUUCUUCUACUUUAAUUAGUUGGGUGGGUUGGAGGAUAUUUCUUAAGCUCUCUGAGACAUACUUUCUCAUCUGUAAAAUGUAGAUAACUAUACUAACUAGUUCACAAAGCCACUGAAAAGAUGAAAUACAUUUUUUUCUUAAAAACAGUGCAAUGCCUAGUUAAAUUAUCAGCACUCAGGGAGUUUCUGUUGUGGUGCAGUGGAAAUGAAUCCAACUAGUAUCCAUGAGGAUUCGAGUAAUCCCUGGCCUCUCUCAGUGGGUCAGGGAUCUGGCGUCGCCGAGAGAUGUAGUGUAGUUCACAGAUGCAGCUCAGAUCUGGCAUUGCUGUGGCUGUGGUGCAGGCCAGCAGCUGUAGCUCUGAUUCGACCCCUAGCCUGGGAACCUAUGCCACGGGUACAGCCCUAAAAAAGCAAAAAAAUAAAGUAAAAUAAAAUAAAAAUUAUCUGUACUCAGUAAAACUUAGCUAUUAUUAUUUUCAUAGUUACUGCUAUGAAAUUAUUGGAAAAUAAGCUAAAUUCAUUUAUACUAAAAAAGAAUGAUGCAUUUGUGUUAACAAUGUAGGAAAAUCUCACAACUAUUCUUUGAAAAAUGCUAACUUCCAGAAGGAUUGACACUUAUGUGGGUGAGAAUCUUAUAUUGACAAUCUUCAUUAAAGUGAAAAAAAUGAAUGUCUUUGAAUAAUGUUAGAUUCAGAAAAGUUUCCAUAAGUACCAGAUAUAUGAAUCACAGGCUUACAAAUCACACUGGCCUGUACUAGAACCAUCUUUGAAGAAUCUAGAUGAAUAUGCCUUUUCUAUUUUAAAACUAACCUUUGGUUAUCUCCACUGCUCAGUCACCACAUGUUCUUUACAGAAGUUAAGCAUCUACAUAAGAACAUUUCUUGACCUAGAACUUCAUUCUCUAAAUCAAAUAUCUGCUCCCCAUAAUGAGGGCAGUGCCAGGCUGACUCACCAAAAAAGGGGUAAGAUUAAUUUUUUUUUUUUUUUCUUUUUAGGGCCUUACCUGAAGCAUAUGGAGAUUCCCAGGCUAAGGACUGAAAUGGAGCUACAGCUGCCGGCCACAGCCACAGCCACACAGGAUCCAAGCCGUGUCUGCAACCUACACCACAGUUCACAGCAACAGCGGAUCCUUAACCCAAUGAGCGAGGCCAGGGAUAAAACCCCCAACCUCAUGGUUCCUAGUCAGAUUCGUUUCCACUGCUCCACACAGGAACUCCAAGACAUAAAUAUUUUAAGUCUACAGACAUGUGUUUCCCACUAUAAGACAAAAAGUAAAUGGUUUGCACACAAUAAAUCCCCAUGUAGAUUCCUGUCACUCAGAGGGUAAGAAAAAGAUUGCUCUAGGGGUAGAGCUGAGCCAGAUGAAAGCAAAUGCAGGGUGAAAUGGAGGAUGAGAAAAGGAAGAUUAAUUUUACAUUUUUUAAAAGAGAUACAACAACUAAAACUUGAAGCCAACAGGUCCUAUCCAUACAAAUAUUGAAUUUUCAAUAUCAAACGUAGUGAUUUGUGAUUAAACUGGUCAGAGUUUGUCAAAGAAUAUGACUAAUUACAAAACCAAGAGGUAUCUUUUCACACUGAAGCAAAGUACUGAUAGUUUAAACACAAUUUGCAAAACCACCUCGUUUUCUCUCACGCUGCUAUAAUAAGCAAUGUCUUCUCUCGGAAACUCAGUGGCUGGGCUGAAACAGGGCUUAAGGUUCAGACGUUAAAAGUCAAUUUUUAUAUCCAAUACCCUUGCUCAAACGCAGGAGGUGGUGAAGGAGACUUGAUUUCAACCCUCUGCACGUUUGGAACAAAGAGGGAUGAAACACAGUAACAUAGCUAUUUCAAGGAAUGCCUAUAAUUUCAUUGUUGUUAAAGCUGCCAGAUGUCUUAGCUCUAAGACAACACAGCUACUGAGUUAGAACCUGAAGAGAAAAAUGACAAAACCUAACUAUGAAAAAGCCCCCCAAAACAAAGAACAAGCACAAAAUAAAGAACCCCACAAACGCCUCCAUCACGCAUCGCCUUGUAUGGGAAAAUUCUGGGCUUGGUUAAUCCAACAGGCUAAGACAGGCAUUCCCAGAAAAGGGAACUGAGGAUAAUCAAAGAAUAGAAACGACUACAUCCUUUGUCAAAUUGCUCCUGUAGUUAAAUCUGGCGAUCCAGUUAACCUUAAAUAUCAACCUAUGGAUUAUUUUCCAUCCAAUAAAUACCUCAAGGAUAAUAACUGAGUUUCAAGUCUGACCUUCAGAUGGCAAAAUGAAUCAUACUCUGCUACUAAAAAGAAUGCAACAGCUGUCCCCAUAUACCCUGCAGAAAAACUUAAGUGGGAAAAACUCAAAAUAUCUUUCUUCAAAAAGUCUGAGAACAGUUAUGUGCAAAAU
rnacentral:lncRNA from 1 species